GCCCCGUCGGCGCAGCAGGUCUCGGCCAGGGAGACGAUUUCCCGGACGAGGUGGCCGAUCUCCUGGAAGGUGCCGUUGGAAUAUUUCCGGCUGGUGUCAAUGAUGGUUCUGGCAGCAAGGACAGGGAGAGCCAGGUGUCAGGGCUCCUCGGAGGGCACCAGCAGCAGGAGGUACCUACAGGGUUCUGAAGUUCUCCUUGCCCAGGAUCUUGUACUCCUGGCAGACCUUCUCCCGGACAUAAGCUUUCCCUGAAAGUGCAGGAGAAGGAGGAAUUGGGGUCCCUGGGGAGAUGUUGUCACAGCCAGGCUGGGAGAAGCACACCUGGUGUCCAGGGUGCUGCUCCAGCUCUGCAGCCAGGGAAAGGGGCAGGGAGAAAACCUUCUCUGGAGCUGGAAGAGCUACAGCAGGAACAUCGGCUCCCAGUCCCAGCUUGUGGCAUUUGUGUUCGCUUGUACAAAGCCAUGCGGGAGAGGUAAAGUCUAGGUGGGUUUUGGCAGCUGGGGGAUUCCCUGUGGAGCUGAGAAGGCAGCAAAGGAUGGCAGAGCAUCGAUCCUACCAAGAGGGUCCUAAGAGAAGCCGAGGAAGAGGAGAAGAUCCAGCUGAAGUGAUCCUCACUAGUCCUGCCUGGGCAAUUGAUGAGAAGGAAGCAAAGAGGGAGGGAUGGAGAUCCAACUGCUGCAGUGAGACCCUGUCCUAGGGUGACGCUAUGAUGCUUGUAUCCCCAUCCCUGUGUUCUGUUUAUGCUGGAUAUCAUGUUCUGUGCCUUCAAGAAUGGCUCUGAAGGGUGCAAGUUUUGUUUUGGUUUCCUAUCAGCUGCUCCCCCACGGCUGGUGAGACCCUGAGACGGGGCAGUACAUGGUGCUGCUUUUGCCUUUCGCUUUGCUCUCGCUCUUGCUUCUGCUUUGCUUCUGCUUGCUCUUGCUUCUACUCAUUAGCUAGUUUAGCUGAACAGUCCAAAUUUUCCCUGGACUCUUUCUCCUUUCCUUUUUUUGGACCUACUUGAACCUGCUCUGGACUGGGACCUGGGAACACCGAGAGUUUGCACCCUGUGGCUGCAGCAGCUGCCCCAGCGCCGGAGGGACUGAGAACAGAGUGACCACCCUGAGAGAGACUUUCUGAAUUUGUCAUCUUUUUCAGAGCAGUGAAAGAGUGGUGUCACCCAGUAUUGUUCAUUUUGUGUGCCGGGGGGUGCUGUGCCAGUUAAAUAAACAGGUUCUUUCCACUUCUCUCCAAGGAAUUCUUCCCGAACCACCUGGGGGGAGGGGCAGUGUGGGUUUGCUUUCUGGAGAGGCCCCCUUUUGGAGAUUCCCUCCCAGAUUUGCCCUAAACCAGGACAGACCCCUGACCCCCAAAUCCACCCAGCCUCCACACAUACUCUGCACUCCCCCUGAGGCCGGAUGUUCCCUCUCAGACCGCAUCCCUUGGGAUGAAGAUAGAGCUGGUUUUUAUGGAAGAUCCCGGGUUUUUCUCCCAGGGAUCUGCACUGACAGUGAGUUGCAGCUCGGGACCAAAUCGUGCCGAUGCAGGAGAUAACCACGUCCUGUUCUUGAUGGUUUAUGUGUGAAAGUUGAAAAUAAAUGAUUAGCGACUCAUGGAA